AACGAACGCUGGCGGCAGGCUUAACACAUGCAAGUCGAGCGCCCCGCAAGGGGAGCGGCAGACGGGUGAGUAACGCGUGGGAAUCUACCGUGCCCUACGGAAUAGCUCCGGGAAACUGGAAUUAAUACCGUAUACGCCCUACGGGGGAAAGAUUUAUCGGGGUAUGAUGAGCCCGCGUUGGAUUAGCUAGUUGGUGGAGUAAAGGCCUACCAAGGCGACGAUCCAUAGCUGGUCUGAGAGGAUGAUCAGCCACAUUGGGACUGAGACACGGCCCAAACUCCUACGGGAGGCAGCAGUGGGGAAUAUUGGACAAUGGGCGCAAGCCUGAUCCAGCCAUGCCGCGUGAGUGAUGAAGGUCUUAGGAUUGUAAAGCUCUUUCACCGGUGAAGAUAAUGACGGUAACCGGAGAAGAAGCCCCGGCUAACUUCGUGCCAGCCGCCGCCGUAAUAC
rnacentral:rRNA from 1 species